CAGAGUGCAGCUCUGUGAGGAAACAUAGUAGGGCUUACUACCUCUGAGGGAGUUACUAUAUGAGCUGGCAGAGCACUGUAGAAAUGUUCUUUCUCUCAUGCAACUAAGCUGACAGCCAGGGUUUCCCGUCCCUCAGGGAUUCAAGCCGACUCAUCAUGAACUUCUCUGAAAGGCCAGAGCCCUCUCCAUGAUUUUUGCAAAUUCCUGACAACUAACUUCCUCACGCGUCUGUCCAUCGACAUUCCAGCUGUCACAUCUGAAUGAGGAGAUUUGCACACUCACAAUGGAUUGGAAUAAAGAAGAAAAAGAGGUCCUAAGAAGAAAUCCCUGGUACAAUUCAGGGAGCGAUGGAAGAAUGGGACGGAAGGAGCCAAGAUGCAUAGUUUUGCAACACUAAAAGAAUGACCGAAAUUAGUUUGUUCUCCUCUAAUAUCAUUAAUGAAACCACACAGUGAUGUCACUUCUGAUCACGCUGUAAUUUGAGUUGCUGAUCUUGCGAUAACAAGCUUCCUUUUUGCGCAUUCACAGCGUGUCUACAGUGGAAAAGACCUUCAGGUUAACAGUGAGUAGGUGGAACUCGUCAAGAAAAAUAACUUCACCACAACAACAACAAAUGACAGGAGAGAAAGAAACUUCUUGGGGAGAGCAGAGGGAAAAAAAGUGAAGUCUAAGUAUUAUUACACAUGUGAAAGAAGAGUCAUUUAUUUAAUAGGAAGUAACUCAUUCACACGAAUCUUACUUUGUGGUCCCUCACAAGUACGUAAAUACUACCAAUCAGUCCUCCACAGAUUAUCAUCAAAACUUCUUGGGAAAUGCCUCAUUAAAGAGUCUUUAAAGAUUAAUAUGAGUGUGCAUUACUCAAAUUAUUUCAAAAAGACAUUCAGCACUAUCGACUGUAAUAUAAAUUUCUUUCCCUUCCACGGGUACCACAGCUUGCCAAAUUUAGUAUGAGUUUUGAAUUGAGGCAAAACAUGAAUCCUUUGAACGGUACUCAUCUUUGCAAGAGAAAGCCAUUUCCUGUUUCUAAGAGAAAGGCCGUAUGUGGACUGAGGAAAACUGUUCUUUGGCAUUAAAUAGCUCUUCCCAGGUGUGUUUCCUGGAAAUACUUCUAUCUCAUAAAACUUGAUGAGAAGUAAUUGGUAAAAACCAGUGAAGGAUUCAUAAAUCCCAGACUUUGAAAGAUAAUUAAAAAAACAACAAAAAAACCCCAAAAAACUGAUGCUCUCAAACCUUCCCCUCGAUGUGCACGUUCAUUUUUGUCUACGGCUUUAUCCCUGGGGUUGUAGACUCUGUAACCCUUUUAUUAAAAGAAUGUCAGUGGUCA